GAUGAACGCUGGCGGCGUGCCUAAUACAUGCAAGUCGAGCGAACAGACGAGGAGCUUGCUCCUCUGACGUUAGCGGCGGACGGGUGAGUAACACGUGGAUAACCUACCUAUAAGACUGGGAUAACUUCGGGAAACCGGAGCUAAUACCGGAUAAUAUAUUGAACCGCAUGGUUCAAUAGUGAAAGACGGUUUUGCUGUCACUUAUAGAUGGAUCCGCGCCGCAUUAGCUAGUUGGUAAGGUAACGGCUUACCAAGGCAGCGAUGCGUAGCCGACCUGAGAGGGUGAUCGGCCACACUGGAACUGAGACACGGUCCAGACUCCUACGGGAGGCAGCAGUAGGGAAUCUUCCGCAUAGGGCGAAAGCCUGACGGAGCAACGCCGCGUGAGUGAUGAAGGUCUUCGGAUCGUAAAACUCUGUUAUUAGGGAAGAACAAAUGUGUAAGUAACUAUGCACGUCUUGACGGUACCUUAUCAGAAAGCCACGGCUAACUACGUG
rnacentral:rRNA from 1 species